GAUGAAGAACGCAGCGAAAUGCGAUAAGUAAUGUGAAUUGCAGAAUUCAGUGAAUCAUCGAAUCUUUGAACGCCCAUUGCGACCCUUGGUAUUCCGAGGGGCAUGCCUGUUCGAGCGUCAUUAUAACCCCUCAAGCUCAGCUUGGUAUUGGGGCCUGCCGCACGGGCAGCCCUUAAAAUCAGUGGCGGUGCCAUCUGGCUCUAAGCGUAGUAAUUCUUCUCGCUAUAGAGUCCCGGUGGAUGCUUGCCAUUAACCCCCAAUUUUCUAUGGUUGACCUCGGAUCAGGUAGGGAUACCCGCUGAACUUAAGCAUAUCAAUAAGCGGAGGA
rnacentral:misc_RNA from 1 species